GUCCCCUUCGUCUAGUGGCCUGGGACACCGCCCUUUCACGGCGGUAACAGGGGUUCGAAUCCCCUAGGGGACGCCA
rnacentral:tRNA from 1 species